AGUGAACGCUGGCGGUAGGCCUAACACAUGCAAGUCGAACGGCAGCACAGUAAGAGCUUGCUCUUACGGGUGGCGAGUGGCGGACGGGUGAGGAAUACAUCGGAAUCUACUUUUUCGUGGGGGAUAACGUAGGGAAACUUACGCUAAUACCGCAUACGACCUACGGGCGAAAGCAGGGGAUCUUCGGACCUUGCGCGAUUGAAUGAGACGAUGUCGGAUUAGCGAGUUGGCGGGGUAAAGGCCCACCAAGGCGACGAUCCGUAGCUGGUCUGAGAGGAUGAUCAGCCACACUGGAACUGAGACACGGUCCAGACUCCUACGGGAGGCAGCAGUGGGGAAUAUUGGACAAUGGGCGCAAGCCUGAUCCAGCCAUACCGCGUGGGUGAAGAAGGCCUUCGGGUUGUAAAGCCCUUUUGUUGGGAAAGAAAAGCAGCAGGUUAAUACCCCGCUGUUCUGACGGUACCCAAAGAAUAAGCACCGGCUAACUUCGUG
rnacentral:rRNA from 1 species